rnacentral:tRNA from 1 species
GCACCCAUAGCUCAGCUGGAUAGAGCGCUGCCCUCCGAAGGCAGAGGUCACAGGUUCGAAUCCUGUUGGGUGCACCA